rnacentral:rRNA from 1 species
UGCCAGCAGCCGCGGUAAUACGGAGGGGGUUAGCGUUGUUCGGAAUUACUGGGCGUAAAGCGUACGUAGGCGGACUAGUUAGUCAGAGGUGAAAUCCCGGGGCUCAACCCCGGAACUGCCUCCAAAACUAUCAGUCUAGAGUUCGAGAGAGGUGAGUGGAAUUCCAAGUGUAGAGGUGAAAUUCGUAGAUAUUUGGAGGAACACCAGUGGCGAAGGCGGCUCACUGGCUCGAUACUGACGCUGAGGUGCGAAAGUGUGGGGAGCAAACAGGAUUAGAUA